rnacentral:rRNA from 1 species
UAAGCGUACACGGUGGAUGCCCUGGCAGUCAGAGGCGAUGAAGGACGUGCUAAUCUGCGAUAAGCGUCGGUAAGGUGAUAUGAACCGUUAUAACCGGCGAUUUCCGAAUGGGGAAACCCAGUGUGUUUCGACACACUAUCAUUAACUGAAUCCAUAGGUUAAUGAGGCGAACCGGGGGAACUGAAACAUCUAAGUACCCCGAGGAAAAGAAAUCAACCGAGAUUCCCCCAGUAGCGGCGAGCGAACGGGGAGGAGCCCAGAGCCUGAAUCAGUGUGUGUGUUAGUGGAAGCGUCUGGAAAGGCGCGCGAUACAGGGUGACAGCCCCGUACACAAAAAUGCACAUGCUGUGAGCUCGAUGAGUAGGGCGGGACACGUGGUAUCCUGUCUGAAUAUGGGGGGACCAUCCUCCAAGGCUAAAUACUCCUGACUGACCGAUAGUGAACCAGUACCGUGAGGGAAAGGCGAAAAGAACCCCGGCGAGGGGAGUGAAAAAGAACCUGAAACCGUGUACGUACAAGCAGUGGGAGCACAGAGCAAUCUGUGUGACUGCGUACCUUUUGUAUAAUGGGUCAGCGACUUAUAUUCUGUAGCAAGGUUAACCGAAUAGGGGAGCCGAAGGGAAACCGAGUCUUAACUGGGCGUUAAGUUGCAGGGUAUAGACCCGAAACCCGGUGAUCUAGCCAUGGGCAGGUUGAAGGUUGGGUAACACUAACUGGAGGACCGAACCGACUAAUGUUGAAAAAUUAGCGGAUGACUUGUGGCUGGGGGUGAAAGGCCAAUCAAACCGGGAGAUAGCUGGUUCUCCCCGAAAGCUAUUUAGGUAGCGCCUCGUGAAUUCAUCUCCGGGGGUAGAGCACUGUUUCGGCAAGGGGGUCAUCCCGACUUACCAACCCGAUGCAAACUGCGAAUACCGGAGAAUGUUAUCACGGGAGACACACGGCGGGUGCUAACGUCCGUCGUGAAGAGGGAAACAACCCAGACCGCCAGCUAAGGUCCCAAAGUCAUGGUUAAGUGGGAAACGAUGUGGGAAGGCCCAGACAGCCAGGAUGUUGGCUUAGAAGCAGCCAUCAUUUAAAGAAAGCGUAAUAGCUCACUGGUCGAGUCGGCCUGCGCGGAAGAUGUAACGGGGCUAAACCAUGCACCGAAGCUGCGGCAGCGACGCUGAUGCGUUGUUGGGUAGGGGAGCGUUCUGUAAGCCUGUGAAGGUGUGCUGUGAGGCAUGCUGGAGGUAUCAGAAGUGCGAAUGCUGACAUAAGUAACGAUAAAGCGGGUGAAAAGCCCGCUCGCCGGAAGACCAAGGGUUCCUGUCCAACGUUAAUCGGGGCAGGGUGAGUCGACCCCUAAGGCGAGGCCGAAAGGCGUAGUCGAUGGGAAACAGGUUAAUAUUCCUGUACUUGGUGUUACUGCGAAGGGGGGACGGAGAAGGCUAUGUUGGCCGGGCGACGGUUGUCCCGGUUUAAGCGUGUAGGCUGGUUUUCCAGGCAAAUCCGGAAAACUAAGGCUGAGGCGUGAUGACGAGGCACUACGGUGCUGAAGCAACAAAUGCCCUGCUUCCAGGAAAAGCCUCUAAGCAUCAGGUAACAUCAAAUCGUACCCCAAACCGACACAGGUGGUCAGGUAGAGAAUACCAAGGCGCUUGAGAGAACUCGGGUGAAGGAACUAGGCAAAAUGGUGCCGUAACUUCGGGAGAAGGCACGCUGAUAUGUAGGUGAAGUCCCUCGCGGAUGGAGCUGAAAUCAGUCGAAGAUACCAGCUGGCUGCAACUGUUUAUUAAAAACACAGCACUGUGCAAACACGAAAGUGGACGUAUACGGUGUGACGCCUGCCCGGUGCCGGAAGGUUAAUUGAUGGGGUCAGCGCAAGCGAAGCUCUUGAUCGAAGCCCCGGUAAACGGCGGCCGUAACUAUAACGGUCCUAAGGUAGCGAAAUUCCUUGUCGGGUAAGUUCCGACCUGCACGAAUGGCGUAAUGAUGGCCAGGCUGUCUCCACCCGAGACUCAGUGAAAUUGAACUCGCUGUGAAGAUGCAGUGUACCCGCGGCAAGACGGAAAGACCCCGUGAACCUUUACUAUAGCUUGACACUGAACAUUGAGCCUUGAUGUGUAGGAUAGGUGGGAGGCUUUGAAGUGUGGACGCCAGUCUGCAUGGAGCCGACCUUGAAAUACCACCCUUUAAUGUUUGAUGUUCUAACGUUGACCCGUAAUCCGGGUUGCGGACAGUGUCUGGUGGGUAGUUUGACUGGGGCGGUCUCCUCCUAAAGAGUAACGGAGGAGCACGAAGGUUGGCUAAUCCUGGUCGGACAUCAGGAGGUUAGUGCAAUGGCAUAAGCCAGCUUGACUGCGAGCGUGACGGCGCGAGCAGGUGCGAAAGCAGGUCAUAGUGAUCCGGUGGUUCUGAAUGGAAGGGCCAUCGCUCAACGGAUAAAAGGUACUCCGGGGAUAACAGGCUGAUACCGCCCAAGAGUUCAUAUCGACGGCGGUGUUUGGCACCUCGAUGUCGGCUCAUCACAUCCUGGGGCUGAAGUAGGUCCCAAGGGUAUGGCUGUUCGCCAUUUAAAGUGGUACGCGAGCUGGGUUUAGAACGUCGUGAGACAGUUCGGUCCCUAUCUGCCGUGGGCGCUGGAGAACUGAGGGGGGCUGCUCCUAGUACGAGAGGACCGGAGUGGACGCAUCACUGGUGUUCGGGUUGUCAUGCCAAUGGCACUGCCCGGUAGCUAAAUGCGGAAGAGAUAAGUGCUGAAAGCAUCUAAGCACGAAACUUGCCCCGAGAUGAGUUCUCCCUGACUCCUUGAGAGUCCUGAAGGAACGUUGAAG